AACAUAAUCAGCCCAACUGCGAAUAGGACGCCUCGUUUCAUGAUAGGUCGCGCGCACACAGUUCUCCGGCGGGGCCCAGCUCGACGCCGGCGCAGCCUUGCCGCGGCGCCGCUCCUCAGUCCGCCGCCUCUGCGGAAGCGGCGUCGCUGCGACCCUGGUCUAGGGGCGUGAAUUCGACACCCAAUCUGGGCGUGUAUAGUAUUAUUCUUCCCUCGAGGAUUGUGACACUGAAACAGCACCAAGGUGGCAAGUUGUGGAUUUUGAAGAAGGCAUUUUUUUUUCAAGAGAAUAAGAGAAGCAAGCAAGCCCCUUGUAGGUUCAGUUGUGAAGAAGCUCACAGUCACAGUUGAUAUAAAAUACUUGACAGCGAAUUUAUCUGUAAGCACAGAAGAGUGUCGUCAUGUCACUAAUAAAACUAAUGCUAUGAUAUUCUGUAGUCA